rnacentral:rRNA from 1 species
CCUACGGGUGGCAGCAGUGGGGAAUAUUGCACAAUGGUGGGAACCCUGAUGCAGCAAUGCCGCGUGGGUGAAGAAGCACUCCGGUGCGUAAAGCCCUGUCAGCAGGGCAGAAAAUGACCGUACCUGACCAAGAAUCCCCGGCUAACUACGUGCCAGCAGCCGCGGUAAUACGUAGGGGGCCAGCGUUAUCCGGAUUUACUUGGUGUAAAGGGGGCGCAGACGGCAAUGCAAGCCCGGAGUGAACGCCCUGGGCCCAACCCCGGGACUGCUCUUGGAACUGCAUGGCUGGAGUACAGGAGGGGCAGGCGGAAUUCCUAGUGUAGCGGUGAAAGGCGUAGAUAUUAGGAGGAACGCCGGUGGCGAAGGCGGCAUGCUGGACUGUGACUGACGUUGAGGCCCGAAGGCGUGGGGAGCAAACAGGAUUAGAUACCCCUGUAGUC